AGAGUACGAGUAUGACAUCCUCGUCUUUGAUGCUUUGGAAACUGAUGACGGUGCUGAAGACUUACUUGGAUACCUCCAGCAGAGGGGAGCAAUGCGAGCCGAUCCUCAGAACCCUCAAAGCUUUGGAAUACGUGUUCAAGUUCAUCGUUCGGUCGAGGACAUUGUUUUCUCAGGUGUUCAUCUAAGUGUGCUACAUCAGAGGCUGGGUCCGGGACAGGGCUCAUCGGUGAAAAUGCAGGACGACGCUUCUGUCUGUGAUCUGGUUGGGAAGCAGCUUUGCGGACUAGAGGCAGGCAGCAGUUCUAAGUGAUCAAUCGAUCAGUUGUGAACAAUGUGUUCCUUAGAAUACUAUCGAAGCUUUCAAAUGGUUAGUUUAAAAAUUAGAACAAUUCCCCCCCAUCAUGGUGUCACGUAGGGCCCUUUCCACCUGGAGCAUUCUCUUGACUUGCAAGCCAGGGACUGCAUAACAGCUGGGGUCCCAGCUUUGGCGUAGCCCUGGGUAUGCCCAUGCAAGUGUGUUAUGCAUGAGGGCAUUCAACAGCAAGUGUGGAGCCACGUGGGUUGGGAGGGGGAGGGGCAUCUCUGCAGUUCACGGGACAAGACUAAGGCGCACAGGUCAGGACAGAGCAGCCACAGUACAGGAACCUCGGCUCCAGGCUCUGCUGUAAGCACUUGAUGUGCACGCCCUCAUUUAAUCUUGUCAGCGAUCCUGAGAGGCAGGUGUCUUAGCUCAUGUUCCCUAGAAGCAGAGCCGGAGCUUUGCAAGCAACUGGAUGAGGAAGUGCCGCAGGAGAAAACCUUCAGGAAGUGAGGGAAGCAGGGCUAAGGACAGAGGAGGGAGCCAAACAAAGACGUAGCUGCAAAAAGCUAGCCUCAGCCCUGUUAGGUCGGAGAGAGCCCAGGAUUGGAUACAUGCAGACAUGUGAUGAGACAAUGGACUCCCCUGGAAUUUCUCACAGAUCAACGUGCCAGACACAGAUACCGGCUUCUCCCUGAAUCCACAUACCCCACACAGAUGCUGACUCAUUCCUGAAUACCUUGCU